rnacentral:lncRNA from 1 species
AGCCUAUAAAUACAUCCACCCUUCACCAUAACAAGGGAGGAGAAAAAGAUCCAUCAAAAGACACUACAUUCACAUCUCACAACUCCAUACACUUACACUUUCAUUCCUUGGCCGAGAGAACACAAUCCACCCAUCCACCAUUCACCAUAACUCACCUAUAUCCAUCCACCACCAUAAUUUACCACUCAUCCAUAAAACCACACCUUGUGCCGCAACAAAGAGAAGAAGGAGGACCCUUGGACGUGCUUGCCAUUCAAGUUGGAUUGUUGGAGCGUUUUUAGGUGUUUUCAUUCUUUGUUUUCAAUAUCUAAAUUUGUUUAUCUUUGCUUUGUGAGUAUGAGGAGCUAAACCCCCUUUAGCUAGGGGGGAAUUCAAAGCCAUGAACAUACUUGCAAUAUGAAUUGAUUACCUUCA